ensembl:snRNA U6 U6 spliceosomal RNA
GUGCUCACUUCGGCAGCACUUACACUAAAACUGGACCAAUACAGAGAUUAGAAUGGUCCCUGUACAAGGAUGACAUGCAAAUCCAUGAACACUCCAUAUUUUU